rnacentral:lncRNA from 1 species
CAGGCCUUGAAAAUAGAACAUAGUAAAAAGCGGCUUCUUUGUCCAUGGAUCAGCAGUCACUAUUUCCCAGCUCGCCUCCAAGAGCUAACUAAAGUGCAGCAUAAACUGCAUGCAGCAUUGUUUUCACCACAGCAAACCCUUCGGGGUGCCUCCUAGCGGCGGAUGGAGAACUAGCAUUGCGCGAGAGUGCUGACCCUUUCUGACAGUAAAGGACGAGGGCCA